rfam:Loxodonta africana unplaced genomic scaffold scaffold_17, whole genome shotgun sequence.
GCCGUGGUGGUGCAACAGUUGAGCGCUCAGCUGCUAACUGAAAGAUUGGUGGUUCAAAUCCACCCAGUGGCC